rnacentral:rRNA from 1 species
UACAUAGGGUGCAAGCGUUGUCCGGAAUUAUUGGGCGUAAAGAGCUCGUAGGCGGUUUGUCGCGUCUGCUGUGAAAUCCAAGGCUCAACCUUGGACCUGCAGUGGGUACGGGCAGACUAGAGUGCGGUAGGGGAGAUGGGAAUUCCUGGUGUAGCGGUGGAAUGCGUAGAUAUCAGGAGGAACACCAAUGGCGAAGGCACAUCUCUGGGCCGUAACUGACGCUGAGGAGCGAAAGCGUGGGGAGCGAACAGG